rnacentral:rRNA from 1 species
UGCCUACGGGGGGCAGCAGUGAGGAAUAUUGGUCAAUGGACGCAAGUCUGAACCAGCCAUGCCGCGUGCAGGAAGACGGCUCUAUGAGUUGUAAACUGCUUUUGUACGAGGGUAAACGCAGAUACGCGUAUCUGUCUGAAAGUAUCGUACGAAUAAGGAUCGGCUAACUCCGUGCCAGCAGCCGCGGUAAUACGGAGGAUUCAAGCGUUAUCCGGAUUUAUUGGGUUUAAAGGGUGCGUAGGCGGAAUAUCAAGUCAGCGGUAAAAAUUCGGGGCUCAACCCCGUCGUGCCGUUGAAACUGAUGU